AAGGGAGUAAUUUAGAUUCUUUGAAUCUCAAACAAUGCAAAGCCUAUUUGCGAACGGACGGUCUUAGAAUUUCAGGAACCAAAUUGGUUUGUUUACAAAGAGUUGAAGAGCACCGGAGGCCGUGGAAAACUGAAGUUAUCUCAAAGAAAGACUUGGCAAGAGUGUAGCUGGAAGUAUCAAAGAGUAAGGCAAAAGAUUGACAGAUGACAUGUUUAAAGACGGCCUGAACCUGCAUAAAUUGGUCAGAUAAGGCUUUGGCCUCCUUAUCCUAUUGGAUGGUGAUCAGAGCCGAGUCUUCUAGCCAUCCCGGUCAGCCAGCUUUUGAGCAAGCACUUGGAGCCUAUUAUUGAAGAGGAGCUUUUGAACGAGCACAUGGACACUAUUGAAGAGGUUUGACAUGUAAAACAAGAAACUUUCAACUAUGUAAUCUUUUUGUUUACUGAUAAUCUGUAUCAAUGUGCUUUGUUUAGUGUAAGAUUCGGCUUUGAUUAUCCAACA